GAAAUGCGAUAAGUAAUGUGAAUUGCAGAAUUCAGUGAAUCAUCGAAUCUUUGAACGCACAUUGCGCCCGCCAGUAUUCUGGCGGGCAUGCCUGUUCGAGCGUCAUUUCAACCAUCAAGCCCCCGGGCUUGGGUUGGGGACCUGCGGCUGCCGCAGGCCCCGAAAACCAGUGGCGGGCUCGCUGUCACACCGGGCGUAGUAGAUUUUUCGUCUCGCCCAGGGCGUGCUGCGGGUUCCGGCCGUUAAAAAGCCUCUCUUUUAACCCAAGGUUGACCUCGGAUCAGGUAGGAAGACCCGCUGAACUUAAGC
rnacentral:misc_RNA from 1 species